GACGAACGCUGGCGGCGUGCUUAACACAUGCAAGUCGAACGGAAAGGCCCUGCUUUUGUGGGGUGCUCGAGUGGCGAACGGGUGAGUAACACGUGAGUAACCUGCCCUUGACUCUGGGAUAACUUCAGGAAACUGGGGCUAAUACCGGAUAGGAGCUCCUGCUGCAUGGUGGGGGUUGGAAAGUUUCGGCGGUUGGGGAUGGACUCGCGGCUUAUCAGCUUGUUGGUGGGGUAGUGGCUUACCAAGGCUUUGACGGGUAGCCGGCCUGAGAGGGUGACCGGCCACCUUGGGACUGAGAUACGGCCCAGACUGCUACGGGAGGCAGCAGUGGGGAAUAUUGCACAAUGGGCGGAAGCCUGAUGCAGCAACGCCGCGUGCGGGAUGACGGCCUUCGGGUUGUAAACCGCUUUCGCCUGUGACGAAGCGUGAGUGACGGUAAUGGGUAAAGAAGCACCGGCUAACUACGUG
rnacentral:rRNA from 1 species